AAAAAAAAAAUAUAUAUAUAUAUAUAUAUAUAUAUCUAUAUAUAUAACAUAAUGGCCGGAAGGAACUCAGGCGGAGAAGAAUCCGGUGGAAGCGGCUCGGCCAAUUUGGGAUUUGGGGUCGAAAACCCAUUUGAAUUCCGUCAUCUCAGCAUUUUGUUUUGCUAUUUCCAUCAUCUUCUUCAUCCUAAUCGCCGAAGCAGUUGCAGAGAUGGAAACCCAAGAACCCAAAUCUUCAAGCUUUUGCGUCUCCUGCACUUGCCUUGGAUUCUUCAUCCUUCUCUCGUAUUCCUCUGCAACAAGAAUUGCAA